AGCCGAGCGGUAUAGAUUUUUCGGGAUCUAGAGAGCGGCGUACGGGUGCGGAACACGUGUGCAACCUGCCUUUAUCAGGGGGAUAGCCUUUCGAAAGGAAGAUUAAUACCCCAUAAUAUUUAGAAUGGCAUCAUUUUAAAUUGAAAACUCCGGUGGAUAGAGAUGGGCACGCGCAAGAUUAGAUAGUUGGUGAGGUAACGGCUCACCAAGUCUGCGAUCUUUAGGGGGCCUGAGAGGGUGAUCCCCCACACUGGUACUGAGACACGGACCAGACUCCUACGGGAGGCAGCAGUGAGGAAUAUUGGACAAUGGGUGAGAGCCUGAUCCAGCCAUCCCGCGUGAAGGACGACGGCCCUAUGGGUUGUAAACUUCUUUUGUACAGGGAUAAACCUACCCUCGUGAGGGUAGCUGAAGGUACUGUACGAAUAAGCACCGGCUAACUCCGUGCCAGCAGCCGCGGUAAUACGGAGGGUGCAAGCGUUAUCCGGAUUUAUUGGGUUUAAAGGGUCCGUAGGCGGAUGUGUAAGUCAGUGGUGAAAUCUCACAGCUUAACUGUGAAACUGCCAUUGAUACUGCAUGUCUUGAGUGUUGUUGAAGUAGCUGGAAUAAGUAGUGUAGCGGUGAAAUGCAUAGAUAUUACUUAGAACACCAAUUGCGAAGGCAGGUUACUAAGCAACAACUGACGCUG
rnacentral:rRNA from 1 species